rnacentral:rRNA from 1 species
CCUCUUUCAGCAGGGACGAUUGUGACGGUACCUGCAGAAGAAGCACCGGCCAACUACGUGCCAGCAGCCGCGGUGAUACGUAGGGUGCAAGCGUUGUCCGGAUUUAUUGGGCGUAAAGAGCUCGUAGGCGGUUUGGUAAGUCGGGUGUGAAACCCCCAAGCUCAACUUGGGGUCGCCACUCGAUACUGCCAUGACUAGAAUCACGUAGGGGACCACGGAAUUCCAGGUGUAGCGGUGAAAUGCGCAGAUAUCUGGAGGAACACCAGCAGCGAAGGCGGUGGUCUGGGCGUGUAUUGACGCUGAGGAGCGAAAGCGUGGGGAGCGAACAGGAUUAGAUACCCUGGUAGUCCACGCCGU